AUGGGUUGAACAGCCACUGCUGUCACUAGACUCGCGCUAGGCGGGCGUGGUUUCACCUCAGCUUCACCCAUAUCCCGCCUCUUUACGUCAAUGUAUCGCGAGAGCGAGUCAAGAAAUUACACUCUCGCGGUACAAUGACGUUUACCUGUCAGCGCAGCAAGAAGUCGAACACACGUAUUUGCGUGCGCGCGCCUCGGUCCUUGUGAGUUCAAAGUGGAUUUUAACCGUUUACCUCAGACGACAGUUUUCAUUUCUAUGGUAAAUUCUAAGGUCAUUUUCUUGUUGUGUUGUGAUGUGUUCCAUUGGCUGAAGAUGAUAGAACAACUUUUAACUGGACAAAUUGUACUGUUGCUGCAACCUGAGCAGCCUCCUAGCUGCUACAAGCACACUCUGUUUCAUAAGUCUUUGCUUUGCCAGAUCACCUGUGGUCGGGAUGUCUGCUAACAUGAUGCCUUGUUGGUCUGGGCGAGUUUGAAGUCUCUCACAGACAGUCCAGAAGGUCUGGAGUCCAUGUUAGCUUUUAUUGAUUAACUACAUACGGUCCCUUGGGGGAGCCAACCCAGGUGAAGUCCACUGAAGUCCCAAUUGCCUACAGCAUGAAAUGGAGGAAGGAAUCAACACAGAAAAACUACAAGGCAUUAAAGGCCCUUGACGUGGAAGACUUAAUUGCAUAAGCCCUGAAAUUUGCCCCACACAGAAAUUUAAAAUGAUGGCAGAGAUUGCUGUGGAGUUCUGAAGUUCAUUGUUUAAAUGUUUUCAUUUUUAAUAUAUUAAAAUGUUUUUUAUGAUACAAUGUUCUACAUGUUUAUUGCCAAUUUUAUGUGUUAUAUAAGCAAAUUAUCUACCCUAUUAUAUUAUUAUCUAAGUCUAUAAAUUCUAUAAAUGUUCCUGUGAUUAAUGAUUUUGAUUUUAUGUCUACGAAUAAAGAAUCCAUGGAUCAACA